GAUUUCUGGCUUGAAACAUUUUGCCGGCCACGGUUUCGUGUGUUAGUGCUUGAUAUUCUGGCCAUCCUUCCAAUGGCUAUUCAUCCUUCUUCAUUGAGGUGGUGAGUGGUAUUGGAUCUUUUACUUUGAAAAAAUUAGAGUGUUUCAAGCAGGCAUUUAUGCUAUGAAUACAUUAGCAUGGAAUAAUAAUUUAGGACGUUCGGUUCUAUUUUGUUGGUUUCUAGGACUGAAGUAAUGAUUGAUAGGGAUAGUUGGGGGUGCUAGUAUUCAGUGGCCAGAGGUGAAAUUCUCGGAUUCACUGAAGACUAACUUAUGCGAAAGCAUU
rnacentral:rRNA from 1 species